rnacentral:ribozyme from 1 species
AAAAGAAAAGAGGGAAAAAAAAAGAGGGAAAAAAAAAGAGGAAAAAAAGAAAGGGGGAUGUCGGCACCGGGUGAAUCUUGUUCAGGCAGUCACUACUCUU